UACGUAGGGUGCGAGCGUUAAUCGGAAUUACUGGGCGUAAAGCGUGCGCAGGCGGUUCGUUGUGUCGGCGGGGAAAGCCCCGGGCUUAACCUGGGAAUGGCCGUUGAAACUGGCGAACUGGAGUGUGGCAGAGGGGGGUGGAAUUCCGCGUGUAGCAGUGAGAUGCGUAGAGAUGCGGAGGAACACCGAUGGCGAAGGCAGCCCCCUGGGCUAACACUGACGCUCAGGCACGAAAGCGUGGGGAGCAAACAGG
rnacentral:rRNA from 1 species